GGGCGGAGCCACGGCGCUGGCGGCCCCGGCGGCGGCGGCAGGUGUGGAUGGGGCGAAGGUGCGGGAACGUCCACUCCCGCGCGCCCCUCUCGGGGACCAGGGCGGCCUCCCAGGAGGAGCUUGGUUUCUGGUCCUCAUACCGUGUGGUUGAGUGAAAUCAAAACUUCCACGAUAGCAAUGCUGAUUGGACAAAGAAUGUGUUGUGGACACAAAACCAAACUCUGGAGGACAGAGGAUUCAUUCCAAGGUAGAGACAGAUUCUCUGGAAGUACCUUCUCAAGGCCAGUGUAGAGCUCCCAAUCACCCAGCAGAUUCUCCCUCUCCCACUGCCCGCACCAAGCAGGUCUCCAGGUGUUCCAGCUGCUGAUGAAGUCCAGUGUGGAGUUGGUCCAGGAGGGUCGUGUUCCAGGCAGCAGAGGAGCGCUCUGUGUGGAAGAGGCUGAAGAUCUGCUGCAGCAUCUCAUGGAGGACAGACAGGGCCUGGGCCUGCUGCAACUGGCUGUCAUACACAUCUCCAGGGGAAACCUGAAGUCUCUUCUGUCCUUGAGACACAAGAAAGGGGAGAUCCAUUUCAUUUGGCCCAGAAGCACCAACGUCUUCCUUCCUGUCAGACCAUGGUUCUGAGUCAGGUCACAUCCCAGAGAUCAAAAAGAGCCACAGCUGCACACAACUAGGACCACCACUAGAGAGUGAAGAUGGAGUCUCAGUCACCAGGCUGGAGUGCAGUGGCACAAUCUCAGCUCACUGCAACCUUCACCUCCUGGGUUCAAGCAAUUCCCCUGCCUCAGCCUCUCGAGUAGCUGGGACUACAGGUGCUCACCACCAUGCCUGGCUAAUUUUUUUUAUUUUAGUAGAGUCGGGGUUUCACCAUGUUGGCCAGGCUGGUCUCGAUCUCCUGAUCUCAUGAUCCACCUGCCUCGGCCUCCCAAAGUGCUGAGAUUAUAGGUUUGAGCCACCAUGACUGGCCGAAUUUUUGUAACUUCUUUUCACAUAGUGGUUUACUGGGUAAGGUGUAUCUUGCUUCUCCUACAUGAUAUUCUUAUUUAUGAUGAAUUAAAACAAAUAAAGAAAAGUAAAAGAAAGGCAAAGGAACCAUAUUGUUCUUCUCCAUAAUUUUCAAGAUUUCAGAUUUUUUGUCUCUCAUUUCAACUUUCCUAGAAAGCAAACCUCAACAAUUGCUUAUAUAUUAAAAACAAAACAAAUAUAAGCCUGAAUAUCAGGAAGUAAGAGAAGUGACUUUCUGCUGACAAAAUAGCAAAACAUAUGUUAGCAAAAUUCAGUGCAGCAAAAUUAGAGACUAGGGACUCUGUCCCAGGGGAAGGAUGAAUGUCAUUGUUGAGGUACACAAAAGCAAGGGAAACGGCUGCUUCUGCCAGAGCCUCACAGAAGAGCAACUCCUGGGUCAAUGGAUUGUCCUCAGCUUUGCAAGACCAGCCACCUGCUCUUCUUUCAUUGAAUGCAGAUGUUAUCACCUCUGAGGUAAGAAAGGAGGAGUCACACCAACCAACUCACAGUAGACUGGCAACAAGACCCCAGUUGCUAGAACACUAGUCCUCUCUGGCAUGAUAAUGAAUAUUAGCCUUGCCUUAGCACCGUACCUAGUUAAAAAAUCCACCCAGGAAAUGAAAAGAUGGCAUUUAGAAACCUGCAAAGAAACAGAAUUUGAUUUCCCAAAAGAUUCUGCUCCUAGUUGUGUUAUAACAAUGGUGAUUUUUUUAAAAGAUAACACCAAAAUUAUUGCAUUAUAACUAUAGGCCUGUGACUGUUUUAAGAUCAUUAAAACUGUUGACCCAA
ensembl:lncRNA MIR31HG MIR31 host gene